rfam:Emticicia oligotrophica DSM 17448 plasmid pEMTOL03, complete sequence.
AAGGAGCAACUCGAAAAUCCUGUAAAAGAGUAGGGG